GCAAGUCGAACGAGAACGGAUUAAAGCUUGCUUUAAUUGUCAGCUAAGUGGCGCACGGGUGAGUAAUAUAUAGGUAACGUGCCUUCAAGAAGGGGAUAACAAUUGGAAACGAUUGCUAAUACCCUAUAUGCCUUUAAGACUUAAGUCUGCAAGGGAAAUAUUUAUAGCUUGAAGAGCGGCCUGUACAGUAGCAGUUAGUUGGUGAGGUAAUGGAGGACCAAGACAAUGACGCUUAACUGGUUUAAGAGGAUGAUC
rnacentral:rRNA from 1 species